UGAUGGAAAUUGCUUUAAAUUUGCUGGCGUAUAGGUAAGUUACGUAGGAGGGGGGAUGCUGAAGUGUCUUCGCAAAUGCAAAGAACGUGUCGGCUGGGAACACUGGGAAUUGAAUUACAGGAAAGCAUAAUGCAAUCCUUGAUAUCUACCUACUCUGCCUAAUGAAAUCAGCAGAUGAAAGCACAGCUGGACCUUCUUGCAGGAUAUUACUGUGUGAGAAAGUGCUUAGCUGGCUGAGGGAGGGGGUGGAGAACGCAAGCACCUUUGGGAAGAGUACGUGCAUGUUCUCACACCAGUGCAUGUUCAUUCCACUUCAAGAAAACUUGUUUUAUUUAUACUUUUGUUGGGCGAUGGUGGGCAGCGCAAAAACGUUAGACUUGUCUAAGUUCUUUAUUUUCUUUAGUUCUCAUUUGUUCUUGUAGUAUUGGCUAGCAGUGGAUUAUAUAGUUGAUAUAUGAGUAUUUAUAAAUUAUAAUUAAUUGUAAUUUAUACACUACUGGUUAAAAGUUUGGAAUAAUUAAGCAAUUUAUUUUUUAUGCUUUCCAAGUCUAAAAGAGUAAUAAUGUGAGAUAAUAUUACAAUUUAAAAUGAUUGUUUUCUGUUUUAAUAUAUUUUAAAAUGUAUUUUAUUUCUGUGAUACUUCAGUGUCACAUGAUUCUCUGGGUAUUAAUCUAAUAUACAGAUUUGGUGAUGAAUAAACAUUUCUUAUUAUUAAUGUUAAAAAUGUGUAUUUGCUGCUUUAAUUUAAUUGCUGCUUUUUUUUGUAAAUAUUUUAAAAAAGUGGUAAUGCUUUUAUUUGCUGAAUCUGGGUACAAAAUUUCAAUUAUAGUAUCAAAAAUAUUUCUGUUUCAAAUCAGUGCCGUUUUAAACUUUCUAUUUAUUAAGAAAUAUUAAUAAAUAAAAUGUUAAGCAGCAGCAACUGUUUUCAACAAUAAUAAUCAUUUAUAAUAAUACACAUAUAACUGAAGGUUAGAAUAUGAGACGUCUUAGAAAUAAAUAAAUGCAAAAGAAAUAUUAUUCUAAAUGUUUGAAUGGUGUAUUAUUUUUCCAUACACCUACAGCUGAAAUGUAUUUGCUCAAAGGCGUCAUUUAAUGUGUGUAAGUUUUUAUGGGCUUUCGUGUAAUGGUGAUGGUGAAUAUGGCAAAAUCAUAUUUUUCAUCAUAUCAUACUUUUCAGAUUGAUCGCUUUUGUUGAUAUGUACAGCGAGGAGUUAAAUUGGGAUUUUAGUGUAAUGUUACCCUUUGUAAGAUUUCACAUGCCCAUUUCUACCUCAAAAAAUAUACAAUUACCAACACAAAACAGGAAAGAAAAAAGAACAAGAAAGUGUUUGGAUCAGCAGAUAUGAUAUUGCUUAUGAGGUAUUUAUUUGGUGUAAUACUGUGGUGCAGUACAGUAAAUGUAAUAUUAUACCACAGUCUUUAGGAUAUUUACUACGUUUCUCCGACCGCUCAGUUUGCUGGUUAUCCUUUUGGCAGAUAAGAGAGUCAUAUAUCAAAGAGAUAAUGGAAUGUGGCGUCUUCAGCGCAUCACAACGAAGGAGCGGUAUCACCUUAUGCAACUGACUUAUGCUUUUAAGACAAUUAUCUUUUUAGCUCCCUUAAUUGCAGGUAAAACAGCCGGCGCUGAGCUGCCCAUUAUUUUGGCAGAGGAAAGCAGCUGACUGCUACAUGAACACAUCUUUUAUUCACAGUUUCAGCUGCGCCACACAAUGGCAAGUAGGAGGAUGAGAGAAAACAUAAAAAAAACCCAUUUAAUCUGAUUCUUUCAUCUUUAGCUUACAGUAAUAGCUACAAACUGAAACAAUCUCGCUCUUGACUUCAAACGUGCAUUUGUCUUGCUGCAGCAACAUUUACACCAAACAGAUCACAUAAAAGUGGCCCCUUUCUUUACCAGUCGUUUUUAGGUUAUGGUAUGUAUUUGUGGCUUCUGAUUUUGAUUCUUGUUAACUUCUGAGGAUUGCAUCUAAUUUGAUCUUUUUAUUAUGAAGGUUAAAUUAGGUAUUUUUGUUUAUUCAUUUAUGAAGACCUAAUGAUGUUUGCAUGUGCAUUCUUCUGUCAAAUUAAUGACUCCGCUGAGAAGCACGGAGCACAACCAGUGUAGCCUGACUGAAAAUUAUUUCUAAGAUUCUGUUCUUUUCAGACAAAAAACUUAAAAUGCGAUCAGCAUAGUCUGACUGCCAAACAGAAAUGAUUCUUAAUAAUCAGCUAUUUUUGAGUCAAAAACAUGGAGCGCAACCAGGAUGGUCUGACUGGAAAUUAUUUCUAAGAAUCUGUUCUUUUAAGUCAAAAACAUAGAGCGCUACCAAUGUAGUCUGACUGCUAAACAGAAAUUCUUCUUAAGAAUCAGUUCUUUUUAGGGAGUCAAAAACAUGAUUCUUUUUGGUGACUUUUUAGUGCCAAACUAAUUACCCUUGUGAGUUUUUUUUUUUUUUUUUGUGAAUCAAAAACAUGCAGUGCAACCAGCUUUGUCUGACCAAAAAACAUAGAUCAUUAAAAAUCUUAAGAAUCAAUUCUUUUUAGUAAGUGCCAAAUCGUAGCAAGGUUAGUGCAGAAAUAAACCACGUGACAUCAGUGGUUCAACCAUAAUGUUAUGAAGCUGCGAAAAUCCUUGUUUUGCAGAAAAGAAUACAAAAUGACGACUUUGUUCAACGUUUGCUCUCAUCACCCUAUAGCGCCUUUUUGGGGAAUAUCACGUACAUAAACGAUGUACGCUGUUCUGUGUCACCAGCAUGUUGUUUAUCCUUUGAUCUGAACAUAAACAAUGUAUUCAUGUACAUAUGUUGCAUACAUUGUUUACAUAUGUGAUACUCUCCAAAAUGGGUGAUAUAGUGUGACAUGGAGAAGAACUGUUAAAUAGUUAUUUUUGUUUUCUUUGUGCAUAAAAAGUAUGCUCUUUGCUUUAUAACAAUACAGUUGAACUCCUUGCUCCUUGCUGCUUUCUGAGGCUUGUUGGAGCCUUGCUGUCUAUGGGAGGGUGCGCAAAGCUCUUGGAAUGAUCAAGGAUCAAAAAUACCUUAAUUUGUUCUCCGAAGAUAAACAAACGUCUUGGAAUGACAUAAGGGCCGGGCUGUCCCUGGAGGUCCUGUCCCAAAUCAGGCCCCCUGACCGGGAGAAGGAUGCACGCAGGGCUGACACAUGAGUGGUUGGCACAUGCCAGGCUGCCUGCUGGGAAUACCAUCCCUCCCCGCACAGCUCUCACGCCCUCAUCAUCCGCUCACCCGCUCGGCCUGACCGCCUCCUCCUCUGCUCAGGCUUUUGUUGAGGAAUUUUCUAUUUCCUAUAAAAUAGUUGCCAGCUAAUGGAUUUUUCCUUUAUUCAUUGGACGUGCUGAGCGAUGACUCUCUCGGCACUUCUUAAAGGUGAUUUACAAUUAAAGGGACUUGGGCUAUUUUCUAAUGAUUCUUUAGCUGAGUGGGUUUUAUUGCACUACUAAGCUGUGUUAUUAACAAACUGCCGCUUCGACUCGUCCCUGUGGGACAUGCUGAAAUGCUUUGUCCUUUUCUCUGCUAGUGAAUAAGGCCUUUCUCUCUCUUUUGAGGCAGUCCAAAGCUUUUACAGUGUCACGAGAGAGGGCCCUGAAUAGCGUGCAUUCCCGCAUGCAGCCGACAAACACACUUGUGGAAAAGCGUUCCUGCACAAACACAUGCCAUGAAAAGAACUCUUCGUAUUAAUCCAGGCAUAAAUAAACAAACAUGCAUUUAGCCACAUUUCUGUUUUUUCUUGCUUUCACUAUCUUUCUUUGAAAGCACAACUUAUUGUUAGUUGGAUGUUUUUUUUUUUUUAAUACAGGCGACGAUCCAAGACCUUCAGUUUAUUUUCAGUUGGGGAGAGGAGGCAGAAGCUUGUGCGCAAACGUUUAAGAAAAAAUAAUACUUAGUGUUCCAAUAUAUCUCCUGAAUUACUUGUAAUAGGAAGAAUUUAUAGCAAAAUAGCCAGUGUUUCCCAAAAAUGAAUGUUUUCUAAAAAAAAAAAUUAUCAGUGAAAAAGUAUAAUAUUAAUAAUGUAAGAAAAAAACUAUAAUAUUUAAAUAUGUGUUUGUGAUCUUCAUGUCUGAGACACUGAAAACACUGGAUCACGAGCUGCUCGUGUGUAAAAGAACACAAUGUUUCUUUAAAGCUUUUAGCCAUUUAAGCCACAAAGUUAUUUCACUUUUUUAUUUUGAUUAAUCAGACAGCCCUACUGGAGCCCUCUUAAUAGCAUCUACCAAUGCCUAUUAUUUUAUUAGCUGUCACUUACAGGCAUCACAUAAUAUAAUACUGUAUUUACAGUAAUUAACACAUCAUUAUGAGAUAUGGCAUGUUUUUGCUAGGUUACGGUUGAAAUUCCGCUGACAUGUUUGUAUGGUAAACCAACUAUUAUUUAAAAUGCCUUUUACAUUAAAACCAUGUGAGUCCAUAUGUGACUGAGUGUCUGUAUCAGGCGUCAGAUGCCCCUACUUUAUUAAAUGGAUGCAAUUCUCAGCGUAACAUAAGAAGCUAAAGUGUUCUGAAAGUGUUAUGGAUCGAUUUUCUCCCUUUUGAAUGCUGUUUUCUCAGACAGAGCUGCAUACGAAGAUGUUCCACAAGUCCGCCCAUGUUUUUCUCAUCGGGUUAUGCUAACAAGCACAUUACCUCGGUGUUGAGUUCAUGCAAUCUCAAUCUAUCACUUCGUCAUCAUCCUUGGCUAUACGUUCGACUGCAAUCAACUGCUGGACUUUUCAAAAGAGCAGCGGAUCUCAUUCUUGAGGAGGUGGACAUCUGGGAACCUAUUGACCAGCUUAAUGGUAGCACAUUAAAAGCAUCCUGGAUGACAUGGCCUCUCCAACACACAAGUGCCUUGUCUCCCCUUUAAGGCCUGUAAUGGAUAAGAGCUUGGCCAGAGUCUCAUGUCAGCAAUAUGAUUGCCUACUAUUUCCUCCUUGCACAAAGAGACUAGACUCACCUCCAGACAAAGUGCUCUUAAGGUCUAUAUAGCCCAAACCUUCUCCAUGCAUCAUGAUAAUGCAAACUAGCAUUGGCGGAAUUCUAUCCAUCCCAUCCAUUUCUACAUGACAGCAGAACAGGGCCAGACGGUGUUAGAGUACAGUGCGAGUUGUCACUGAUUUCUUCCCAUGCGUAGGUUCACCCGUUUUGUCUCGCCUUUUUUUGUCUGAUUAUGAUGUGUUGGCAGCGCUGCAGACACGCAGCCAGUAUAAUCAGCUAAAACAAUGGGCCGUAAUAGCUGAGAGCGUAGCCGCUCCUCUCAUCAGCUCUCAUUAUAAACACAGACGCUGUGUCGCUAACGUUAGACGGCACAGACGUGGAUCAAAGUGCAUGUCUGAUCGCAGAGAGCCAUCGAGCAGGCAGUGUUUUUGCGGUAUAUGAGGACAUCGUGCUCUGAAAGUUUAUAGAUGCAUGUAGGCUAUCGGCAGCACUUGUGGUCACUAGUGGUCAAUGACACGAAUGUCUGGUUGACUGGUGAUGUAUUCUCAAUCCCCUAUAUGACUGCACCAUGCAUAAGAGCCAAGCCUAAUGUUAGAAUUCUGAUACUUCCAUAAAAGCUAAUGUAUGGUAACAGUUGAAAAUGCAAGUUAAAUGUAGUUCAGAGAGCUUGAGCUAACGUAAUUCACCAUUUAUAUAAGCAAAUGCAUCUAGCAUUUGACCCUUUCAAUUGGGUCAACUGUCAUCAUGGCAAAACAGUUUGAAGAGAAUGUCGCUGAACAAUUUAGUUAAAGCAUUAGUUCACUUCUAGAGUAAAAAAAAAAUCCUCAUGUCAUCCAAUAUGUCUUUCUUCAGUCGAAAAGAAAUUAAGGUUUUUAAGAGAAGCAUUUCAGGAUUUUUUCCAUUUAAUGGACUUCAAAGGGACCCAAUGGGUUGAUGGGCCAAAUUGCAAUUUCAAUGCAACUUCAAAGGGCUCUACAUGAUCCUAACAAAGGAAUAAGGGUCUUAUAAAUAUAAAUAUAAAUAUAAAUGAUCACCAUAUGUGUAGGAGGAAGCACUGAUCCAGUGUUGUGAACGUGCAAAGUCAAAUGGCCUUUACAAAAAAGGUAAAACAACGAUUUUGGACCAUUUUAAAGUUGGAGGAGAAAAUGAGAUGGAGUUUUUCACCCUACCCUAGCUUUUUGAACCAAAAUACAAAGAUGAAGAAUUAACCAUCCAGCAUGAUUACUUAAUGCUUAAAGUCACGCAUGCAUCACAGAGCUGGUGUAAAAUGAGGAUUUGUUUA